AAGGGUGCGCAGGUGGCUUUUUAAGUUGGCUGUGAAAUCCCUCGGCUUAACCGAGGACGUGCAACCAAAACUGAAAAGCUUGAGUGUUGGAGGGGAAAGUAGAAUUUCUAGUGUAGCGGUGAAAUGCGUAGAUAUUAGAAGGAAUGCCAGUGGCGAAGGCGGCUUUCUAGACAAACACUGACACUGAGGCACGAAAGUGUGGGGAGCAAACAGGAUUAGAUACCCUGGUAGUCCGCACCGUAAAC
rnacentral:rRNA from 1 species